rnacentral:rRNA from 1 species
GAUGAACGCUGGCGGCGUGCCUAAUACAUGCAAGUCGAGCGAACGGAUAAGGAGCUUGCUCCUUUGAAGUUAGCGGCGGACGGGUGAGUAACACGUGGGUAACCUACCUAUAAGACUGGAAUAACUUCGGGAAACCGGAGCUAAUGCCGGAUAACAUUUGGAACUGCAUGGUUCUAAAGUAAAAGAUGGUUUUGCUAUCACUUAUAGAUGGACCCGCGCCGUAUUAGCUAGUUGGUAAGGUAACGGCUUACCAAGGCAACGAUACGUAGCCGCCCGGAGAGGGUGAUCGGCCACACUGGAACUGAGACACGGUCCAGACUCCUACGGGAGGCAGCAGUAGGGAAUCUUCCGCAAUGGACGAAAGUCUGACGGAGCAACGCCGCGUGAGUGAUGAAGGUUUUCGGAUCGUAAAACUCUGUUAUUAGGGAAGAACAAAUGUGUAAGUAACUGUGCACAUCUUGACGGUACCUAAUCAGAAAGCCACGGCUAGCUACGUGCCAGCAGCCGCCGUAA